GGAUGUUUAGCUCAGUUGGUAGAGCAGUAGCUUGAAGCGCUAUGCGCGGUUGUUCGAUUCAAUCAGCAUCCA
rnacentral:tRNA from 1 species